rnacentral:rRNA from 1 species
GACGAACGCUGGCGGCGUGCUUAACACAUGCAAGUCGAACGCAGUGGCGAACGGGUGAGUAACGCGUAAUCAACCUGCUCUUCAGAGGGGGACAACAGUUGGAAACUACUGCAAAUACCCCAUACUGAAGGUGGGGAUUGCGUCUGAUUAGUUGGUGGGGGGGGUAACGGCCCACCAAGGCGAUGAUCAGUAGCCGGUCUGAGAGGAUGAACGGCCACAUUGGGACUGAGACACGGCCCAGACUCCUACGGGAGGCAGCAGUAGGGAAUCUUCGGCAAUUGACGAAAGUCUGACCGAGCAACGCCGCGUGAGUGAAGAAGGUUUUCGGAUCGUAAAACUCUGUUGUUAGAGAAGCGGUAUCUAACCAGAAAGCCACGGCUAACUACGUGCCAGCAGCCGCGGUAAUUC